rnacentral:rRNA from 1 species
GACAGAGGGUGCAAACGUUGUUCGGAAUUACUGGGCGUAAAGCGCGUGUAGGCUGCUCGGAAAGUCGGAUGUGAAAGCCCUGGGCUCAACCUAGGAAGUGCAUUCGAAACUUCCGAGCUGGAGUGCUGGAGAGGAAGGCGGAAUUCUCGGUGUAGAGGUGAAAUUCGUAGAUAUCGGAGAGGAACACCGGUGGCGAAGGCGGCCUCUGGACAGUGACUGACGCUGAGACGCGAAAGCGUGGGGAGCAAACAGG